GGGCCGAUAGCUCAGUUGGUUAGAGCAUCUGACUCAUAAUCAGAGGGUCCGGGGUUCGAGUCCCUGUCGGCCCA
rnacentral:tRNA from 1 species